GUGGGCGCUGGAGAAUUGAGGGGGGCUGCUCCUAGUACGAGAGGACCGGAGUGGACGCAUCACUGGUGUUCGGGUUGUCAUGCCAAUGGCACUGCCCGGUAGCUAAAUGCGGAAGAGAUAAGUGCUGAAAGCAUCUAAGCACGAAACUUGCCCCGAGAUGAGUUCUCCCUGAGACUAUAAGUCUCCUGAAGGAACGUUGAAGACGACGACGUUGAUAGGCCGGGUGUGUAAGCGCAGCGAUGCGUUGAGCUAACCGGUACUAAUGAACCGUGAGGCUUAACCUUAC
rnacentral:rRNA from 1 species